UGGGGAAUAUUGCACAAUGGGGGAAACCCUGAUGCAGCAACGCCGCGUGAAGGAAGACGGUUUUCGGAUUGUAAACUUCUGUUCUUAGUGAAGAAUAAUGACGGUAGCUAAGGAGCAAGCCACGGCUAACUACGUGCCAGCAGCCGCGGUAAUACGUAGGUGGCAAGCGUUGUCCGGAAUUACUGGGUGUAAAGGGAGCGCAGGCGGGAGACCAAGUCAGCUGUGAAAACUACGGGCUUAACCUGUAGACUGCAGUUGAAACUGGUUUCUUGAGUGAAGUAGAGGUUGGCGGAAUUCCGAGUGUAGCGGUGAAAUGCGUAGAUAUUCGGAGGAACACCGGUGGCGAGCGCAACUGGCUUUAACUGACGCUGAGGCUCGAAAGUGUGGGGAGCAAACAGGAUUAGAUACC
rnacentral:rRNA from 1 species